rnacentral:rRNA from 1 species
UACGGAGGAUGCGAGCGUUAUCCGGAUUUAUUGGGUUUAAAGGGUGCGCAGGCGGCACGGCAAGCCGGCGGUCAAAUCGCGGGGCUCAACCCCGCCCAGCCGUCGGAACUGCCGGGCUAGAGUGGGCGAGAAGUGCGCGGAAUGCGUGGUGUAGCGGUGAAAUGCAUGGAUAUCACGCAGAACUCCGAUUGCGAAGGCAGCGCACCGGCGCCCUACUGACGCUCAGGCACGAAAGCGUGGGUAUCGAACAGG